GGUACCUCCCAUUUGCUCCUAUGGAGUGACAAUCGAUCAAGAGAAAAGAGAAGGUGACUUGGAAGGCGAAGAGAGGCAGAAGAGGGAAAAGUCAGAAGCAGUUGCAUGCAUCUGAAAUGAUCAUUUGUGUGUCACAACAAAUGGAGGAAAUGUAUCAUAAAAUGAGGACAUCGGAGAGUACAGACACCCAUAAAACUUGCACUUGCUGAUUGUAAUGUAUAGAUACAACUUCAGGUAUAAUUACAGUUUAUCUCAUAGUAAUGGCCAGGUGAUCCAUGUAAUUGCUCAGACUGCUGUCCAGAGCUGAUACAGAACUUCAAGGCUCUUUCUGCUCCCCUUCCUUCAUACGGUGCUGUUCUUUAUCUUUCAAGCAGACUUGGAUUGGACAGCCUUCAUACAGAGGACUGUUCUUGGACGGUUGCGGAUGGGUGAGUCCACAUUGGCGAUGAUAUCUUCCACAGGAAUUCUGGGGGGUGUGAUUGCGAAGUUUCCUCCCUUGGCUAGGAUGGCAGUUUCUUCUGGCGGGUCACAUCACUCUGGGCACAGAGGGAACUGCUCCUGUCUGUGCUCCUGCACUCCGAAGAUGCCGGUCACAGGUGCUGGCGAAAC